ACCUUUCUCCUUCGCCUUCGAGCGGUUCGUUCCUCCCAUUAAUGGCUGUGGAUGUGCUGCCACCGAUCCACCUCCCUUCCUGCUGAUUGGCAUGACGACGGCGGCGGCUAAAUGUCACAAGAGGAGGCGACACGCAGUCACCCUUCCACCUCCCCCCACCAUCGGUCUCCCUUCCACCUCUCCCCGUCCCGCCGCCGGUCGCCCUUCGACCUUCCCCAAUCGCAGCCUCCCUCCGCUGCUUUCAUGGACAGCUACCUACCAAAUCCCACGCAAGAUCGAGCCAUCCAUCCACACAACUCUCCCAUGGAACAGGAAUCCAGGCAAGAAACCUUCUCCAACGAUGUUGCUUCUUGCCUUCCUGGUCCAGUUUCGACGGCAGAAGCGACUCCACCAAGAUCCUUUCGGUGAGCUUGCUGCUGCUCCUCCAAUCCUUUUAUUUCAUUUGUGUUCUCUGUUAAUUGCUUUGCGGGUCUUGAAGAGAUGGAUUCUCAUUUUGUUCAUCUUAUUUACCGUAGAACUUCAUUAUUCACGAGAGGUCGAGAGUACUCUUCGGCAAGUUACUAAAUUAUGAGUUCUUUCUUAUAUAUAUUUAACCAAAUGUUUUUUCUAAGUUGUGUUACUACUUUGGCUAACCAUCUAGAUUUUCCAUAAGAUGAGAGCGAAUUAGAUGGAGAUCUAUUUGAGAGUGAUGGCUAUCUAUCAGAGGUACGUGUGUAUACAACCCAGUCACUCAUUUAGUUUUUACAACCAUUUCAAAUCUGAAGUACUUCCUCCGAUCCUAAAUUGUUGUCCAAAUAUUACAUGUAUCUAGACACCUUUUACGAAUAGAUACAUUCAUAUUUGGACAAAUUUGAGUCAAGAAUUUAGGAUCAGAGGGAGUAAUAUUUCUUCUAUGUCACCUUAGACAUAGAUUUGAAGUGAUCUUUCAUAUUCUGUGGACUGGUCUUCUACUUUCGUACAUGAGUUUCUUUAACAAAGUUAUUUUGGAGUUUGUCCUUUCUGAUAUGGCAAUUUGGUAAGUAGUCCUGAAAGUUCAUGGACCUUUUGAUUUUGGUUAGUCAUGCUCAUGCAUCCAAAAAAUAGCGUAUGAGGUGACACUUCUAGCAUCCUCGAAGCUUCUUCUCCAGGCCACCCCUUCAUCGUUCGUCUCCGAUCUCUGCAGAUCUAAUCCAGUGAUCACCCUCUAUGAUGGCGCCUGCCUUAGGCAACGAUGGUCCAACCAAGCCACGGAGAGUCUAUUGACCUCCCCUUCAUCUAGACCCUCUCCUCUUUUCUUACAAACCAUUGCACCCGAUUUUAGGCAGCAACUGACCCCAUGGGCAUCCAAAACUGAAAGCAAUUGCACAGGGAAAUUCCACUUCUUUGACUAGCAAAAUGAAUAACAUAGUUUUUUUUUUUGCAGGACUCCGUAUCUUGCACUCUCUAGCAAAAGUUCCACACCUAUUUACUGAAGCUUUCUUGCCGCACUUUGCUUUGUGAGCUCAUUGUCAAUAGUUUUACUUCAGAGAGUUGUCUCUAAUGAAUGACAUUUUGGAGGAGACAUGCUUACCUUACAAUUAAGACAUCAAAGGAACACAAAGUAUGUCUUAUGCAUGGUUCACUAAUUAAAUACAGGUCGGACAGAUUCUAAUAUCCUUGACUUACAUUUUGUUGUUACGAGUGACAGUGCCAAGAUUAUCUUUUUCAUGCUUAACUUCAGGUAUCUCAGCUAUAAAUUUGUGAAAGUUCCUUGCAAGAAGCAAAAUCACAUAGGACAGCUAACCUGGAGUACCUCAUCUGUGAUGUUAGUUUGUGUGCAAUACUAACCUGACAUACUAUAUAUAUUUUCUCAACAGGCCACCGCGACAACUCUUCGUGAUCUUAAGCUAAAUUUCGAUUCAAAGUGGACAUGCCCGGAUGCAGGCAACGCGAUUGCUUGCCAUUAUUUAGUUAGGAUCAACCCAUGUACUUUAUAUACAACAAGUUACAAUUACUGUUUCCUGACAUAUGAAUUAUUUAAUUUAUUCAGUACUGCACAUAUUGCUACAGUGUUAGGUGGCAUGGUUUCUAGGGUAACAUUACUACUUACUUAUACUUAAUGUUGUCACCUGCACAAUAGUAUCCUAAACUAUAUGAAUGGUUCCUCAUUUUGACCCUC